UAAUCGACGCAGGGUGAGUCGGUCCCUAAGGCGAGGCUGAAGAGCGUAGUCGAUGGGAAACGGGUUAAUAUUCCCGUACUUCUAGUUACUGCGAUGGGGGGACGGAGAAGGCUAGGCCAGCUUGGCGUUGGUUGUCCAAGUUUAAGGUGGUAGGCAGAGAUCUUAGGUAAAUCCGGGAUCUUAAUGCCGAGAACUGAUGACGAUCCUUCUUUUAGAAGGAGAAGUGGUUGAUGCCAUGCUUCCAGGAAAAGCCUCUAAGCUUCAGGUAACUAGGAACCGUACCCCAAACCGACACAGGUGGUUGGGUAGAGAAUACCAAGGCGCUUGAGAGAACUCGGGUGAAGGAACUAGGCAAAAUGGCACCGUAACUUCGGGAGAAGGUGCGCCGGUGAGGGUGAAGCAUUUACUGCGUAAGCUCAUGCCGGUCGAAGAUACCAGGCCGCUGCGACUGUUUAUUAAAAACACAGCACUCUGCAAACACGAAAGUGGACGUAUAGGGUGUGACGCCUGCCCGGUGCUGGAAGAUUAAAUGAUGGGGUGCAAGCUCUUGAUUGAAGUCCCAGUAAACGGCGGCCGUAACAAUAACGGUCCUAAGGUAGCGAAAUUCCUUGUCGGG
rnacentral:rRNA from 1 species